UAGCGUCAUCAGGGGCUGGAGAAGGGGCAGUGGGCCACAGAGGCCUAAGGGAGGAACACGUGGCCAGAGGAAGGGAGCCGGCUCCCAGGGAAGCCCGGAGCCGGGAAGUGGCUUUCCGGAGGGCUCGCGGCUCCACUUUCGCUUACGAUGGGGCGACUCUUGUCCAUCGUCGCCUCACCUGGAAACUUUUCCUGCCGGCCCAGUUAAUGGUCUCCUGUACCAUCCCCAUCCUGAGUGACUACUAAGCAGCCGCAGCGACUCGGGGUUGCUCCGUGACCACGUUACUCAGUUACCUUCUUGUUCCCUGGAGAGGCGGAGCUGAAUGGCCCAGACGGGGUUUCUCCAUGUUUCCCAGGCUGGUCUCAAACUCCUGGGCUCAAGCAGUCUGCCCACCAUGCCUCCCAAAAUGCUCCUCCAAAAAAGGAGUGUGCCACCACACCCAGCCUGAGCAACUUUUGUUUUUAAGCUGACUAAAGUCAGAGAUUCCCCUGCUGACCUUGAAAAAGCAAGUCACCAUGAAUUCAACAGGUGCAAAGAAAUGAAUUCUGUCAACAAUCAAGUGACUUUGGAAGAGGUUCCUGAGCCUCAGAUGAGACCCCAGCCUGGCCAACACUUUGAAGCCUCAUGAGAAUGACCAUCCAACUAAGCCUUGCCCUGACCCCUGAACCCAUGGAAACUGUGAGAUAAUAAAUGUAUGUUGUUUUAAGCUAUUACGUUUGGGAUAAUUUCUUACAUCAUAGGCAACUAUUGCAGCCAUGUAGUUAUUCUUUUAAAAAUUAAUAUGAACUAUUUCAAAUAUAUAGAAAGUAGUAAAGAAUAGUAUAAAUAGUAUCAUGUAUCCAAUAUGAAGAAAUAGAGUAUUAUAAGUAAUGUUGAAAUUUGUUGUAUAGCCUUUUCUAAUUCUGCUUUCCUUAAUUCUUCCCGAGAUGCAACCCACUGUAAUGAAGGUGUUGAUUAGCGUUUAUGCGCAUUUUUUAGAACAGCAUUUCACUAUAUGUAUGUAUGUCUAAAAGCAACAUAUAAUAUCAUUUAUUUCUGUUUGAUUUCUCCUCUAUUAGAAAUAGAUAAAAUGCUUUCAUUAUAAUUGUUUCCUGUUAAUUUUUUUUGUAUCAUCGUCCAGUUUUACAUUAUGAAUUUUAACAACAUUUUGUUAGUUGCUGUGACAGAGACAUUUAAUAUUACUGAAUAAACAUGUGCUUCAUCACAUCUGCCAGCUCCCUAACAGUUGGGUCAUGCCAUGUGACAAGUUCUGGCCAACUGCUUGGCAGUUGGCAACCAAGGAACUGUAUGUUAAGAUGAUUGGGCCUGCCAGGUUUGAAACUGCCAGGACUUCUGAGUCACCACAUGGAAAACUGCUGGUCUGCAGAGUUAUAAAAUUUGGCUAGGACUUCGUGUUGAGUGAGAAAUAAACCUUUUGUUUGUGAAGCCAGUAUAAGUUAUUAUUGUAGCAUAGCCUACAUUAUUCUGUCUGAUGUAGAAAAAUACAAGUUCAUGUUAUUUUAUACUGAUGUUAUUAUGUUCCUUUAAUAAUUUAUCCUUAUUAAACCCUUUGCCUCAUAUUUUACUUGAUAAUUUUUGAUCAUCCCAUUAUUUUCAACCCUUUGUUUUAUUUAAGACUUGUAACUAGGCUAUAGCUGGGUGUAUCUUAAAAAUCAAAUCUAAUAGUUUUUUCUCUUCUUUUAGGUAUUUUAAUCCACUUACAUUUUUGGAAUUACUAAUAGAUUUACUUAGACUUAUUUCUAUGGUUUUAUUAUUAUCAAGAUUUUAGUUCCAACUUUUAAAAAAUAACCAUCAUUAGCUGUCAUUUGAUAUUAUAGUCAGUAGUUGGUACAAUUUGUUAGCUUAUUGUUAAAAAAUUGUUUUCUGUAUUUAGUGUUGUUUUAUUCCAGCCCCUUAUUUAAAAGGCUUUUCCCUCUGAACUCAUCAUUGAUCUGGAUGAGGUGCAUACUCUUUUAACAGUGUUUAUUAUGUGUGUAUGAAAAGGUCUGUAGAUAAUAAGCUCCAUUAAACUCUUUCGCAUAUGAAAAUGUCUUUAUUUCACCUUUACCUUUGAAUGAUAUGUAUAGCGUUCAGUUAUUUUUCAAAAAUGUUUUGCUGAUAUUACUUUACAAACUUCUGGUA